UCGGGAAAAUUUCACAAGAGCUCAGUCAUUUCCUGAAUUUAAGAGCGAACUAUAAACAAUUGAAUUCUUCUGUCUUCAGAUGUUUUCCUAACAUUCUUUUUAUUUGCCAUAAAAACGUUAGUCGCUGUGAAGCAAGAAAUAGCUGAUGCUACCUUAAGCCCCCAUAAAAGCGGCACACGAAAAAUCAGUGGACGGAAAAAUUACAAAUAUCAGAAAUAAAAACAGAGCGCAUGUACCAAGUGCAUUUCAAUUAUUUAUACCAUUCUCCCUUUUUCCUCCGAAUAUUCGCAUUUAUCCAUUAUUAAAAUAUACAAUUCGGUCGAUAUUAGAGAGCAAAUAAGACAAAAAAAGACAAACUCAAAAGCCUCAGCUUUCUUUCAACGCCACUCCAAACCUGUUAAAAUCUACCCGACAAAAAGCCUUAUUUUUGAACUAUUCCACCUCUUUUUAACUAUUUUUCACUUGUCAAAACUUGACGUUUUUACCCUUUGACGACGGAUCAAUUUUUUCAAUUCCAAUAUACUUUUCUUUUUUAAAGUUCAGUCCUUAUCGAUUUUUUACCACUUUGGAAAGCUCUCUAUCGAAGGCGGUUUUUAUUAAUAUUUUUAAAACCGCUAGGGAUACGAAAAAAAUAUUCGUUUGUUUGUUUACCUAUUUUGCUAUAUUUUAUUCCAGUUAUGCGUAUUGAGAAAAAGGAACGUUGAGGCGUUAUACUUUUUUGAUGCCGAACUGAAGAAAAAAUCAAUUAAAUUCUGCAACUUUUACUUAUGUUGUUUUGCUGAUAAAGCCCCCGCUGUUUAGUAUUUAAAAUAUUUGUGAACAAACUCCAACAACUUUGAAAAAAAAGUUGAGUUCUAAAAAUAAAAAAAAGAGUAAUUGGUUUAGACUUGCAUAACCUUUGUUCAUUUUUCCCACCUUCUAGAUUUAAUAAAUGAUUUUAUUUACUUUUAAUUUUUACUUUUACUUAUUGGCUCCUCUAAUUGUUAUUUUUUGAUUCUUCUAAAUUCUUCUACUUUUAAAGACAUUAUUGAUUUGUUCAAAAAUUUCACAACAAAGUUCGUGUUAGACGUUUAAAAGUUCUUCAUUCGUAUUUUUUACGCAUGUCAACCUUAACAGCUUCACCUUUACCAUCGACGCCCUCUAUCGACAAAUCUGCGACACAAACUCAACACACAACCAAGAAAAAAGGGGAGAAAAAAUUGACAAGUGGGUUAAGUACUGCAUCGGCACUGACUCAGUCGCGGAUGUUGGCUAGACAGAAUACGGUUCCAGAUGUGACCAAGGACAGUUCUGGAUAUACGUGGGAGAUAUACGGGGCCGAAAUUGACCCAGAUUCCCUUAGAGAAGCGAUCCAAAAGCACAAUGAAAAACUAAAAUCUAAACAAACCACCAAUUUCCGACCACGACCCAGUGUACAAAGGUCAGCAACACUUCGUGAAAACCUAUGGGAACCAGUUCGCAAAUUGUUCCUCCCCAAAACACGAAGCGCCACCACUGACGGGAACUUCGAGAUCUCAGAAACGGUGUCUUCGGGACACGCCGAGGCACAAGGGGGGCCUUCGGUUGAGCAGCCGAAACGGGAGUCGAAAAGCGAGCGGCUUCCGGCAACUAAAGAAGAAAACGAACAUAACUGCUGAUGACAGUUUGUUCGUUCGGGAAAAAGCUGAAAACAAAAACUUCACAUCAUUUAAGUUUUUUAAGUAACUUCUGAUUUAAUUGCAAUCAUUAUUUGCAUUCACUGCUAAUAUUUAGUUGGAAUUUUUUUAAGGCUAAGUUGAGAUUUGUAAUAUAUCAUCUAGUUGUUAAAUGUCAUUUCGACUUAAUAAAAAGUCCAUAGAAAAGUUAAAUUUGGU